rnacentral:rRNA from 1 species
AUUGAACGCUGGCGGCAUGCCUUACACAUGCUAGUCGAACGGCAGCACGGGUGCUUGCACCUGGUGGCGAGUGGCGAACGGGUGAGUAAUACAUCGGAACAUGUCCUGUAGUGGGGGAUAGCCCGGCGAAAGCCGGAUUAAUACCGCAUACGAUCUACGGAUGAAAGCGGGGGACCUUCGGGCCUCGCGCUAUAGGGUUGGCCGAUGGCUGAUUAGCUAGUUGGUGGGGUAAAGGCCUACCAAGGCGACGAUCAGUAGCUGGUCUGAGAGGACGACCAGCCACACUGGGACUGAGACACGGCCCAGACUCCUACGGGAGGCAGCAGUGGGGAAUUUUGGACAAUGGGCGAAAGCCUGAUCCAGCAAUGCCGCGUGUGUGAAGAAGGCCUUCGGGUUGUAAAGCACUUUUGUCCGGAAAGAAAUCCUUGGCCCUAAUACGGUCGGGGGAUGACGGUACCGGAAGAAUAAGCACCGGCUAACUACGUG